CUACAUGUGAAACAAAGAAAGAGCUCAUCUGCAUUUGUUUUUUUUGUGAUUCAACCUGUGAUUGUUGGUCGUCACAUUUUCCAUUGAGGUUAGGAUGUGGAUAAACUGUUAAAACUGAACUGCAACUGAACAGAACAAAGACGACGUUGAAACAGGAUGGAGCUCACCUCACUCUGCCUGAUAGUUUCUGCAGCCACACUGACCAACCAUCCUGAUGAAUCGCAGUUCUUCCGGUAUGAGGACAUCUCUCUGGCUGUUCGGCGCCAGCGAACAUCAACGGCUGGACAGUGAGAAGAAACCCUUCCUCAAAGACGUCUCAGGCGUGCGAGGGUGACUUUGGAGCCCUGGAUGAGUCCUCCUGCACCCUGAGGAACGUGUACCCUGAGGACACCGGCGUGUACUGGUGUGAGUUAGAGCGGGGGGAGUGCAGCAACACCGUCAGCAUAGUGAACCGAGACCAUCAAAUCUACUCCAGAGAGCACAGCAGCUACCCCCACAAAGCUCUGUCUCAUUCAGAUACAUAUUAGGGAACUGCAGAGAGCAGUGUGCACGAGGACCUGAAAAUGCACUGAGGAUCUAUGGUUGCCAUGAACCAGAUGCAGUGGAGCGAGAGAGAGAGAGAGACCCAGUGCUUAAAUCUCUGCAAUCUGGCCAGAGCAUGCUGUUUGUGUACUUGAUGCACUGCGCCCAAAACAAACUUCCAAGUUCAUAAGCCUCAAAAACAUGCUUCUUGCAGUGAAACAUGAUUGUUGGCCUUGGACUGAAGACUGUUUAGUUUUUUCUCUUCAAGGAUGUUAAAUUUUUCUGGGCCUGAUGAGCGUAUUCUUGAGUUGUACAUGAAGGCCUUUCAAGCACUUUGUGGGACUCUGCACUGGGUCCAAAACUAACUUGAACCGUGAUCAUUUCUUUUCAUGAACAUUUUUCUGUUAUUUCGAAAUUAUUUAACCGAUGUACUCACUGAAAGACACUGAAGACAUUGUACCAAGCUGCAGUUGGAAAGCUGAGGUCACAUGUUCUAGUAUGUAAACUAGUAAGUUUUAAAGGAAUGCAUGUGCCAAUUUAAAUCCAUGAUGUCAAAUGAUGCAUUCACUGUUAAGCCGUGAUGUUUAAAAUGGUCAAAUGUGUCCCUUCAAGAUUACGAGUUGUACACAGGAAGGUUGCUGUACUGUGGAGGUACUCAACUACACAUUCAUAUCACAUAAUUUAUUUCCAUUUAGUUUUGCCAUGACUGGAUUUAAUAGCUGUUUAAUAAAUGCUGGAAUUAAAUACC